CAGUGUUCCGCAGGUUGAGGUAGUAGGUUGUAUAGUUCAGAGUGACACCACAGGAGAUAACUGUACAGCCUCCUAGCUUUCCCUGAGGAAACAC
ensembl:miRNA mirlet7a-4 microRNA let7a-4